rnacentral:lncRNA from 1 species
CAGCACAGAAACCUUAGCAGUCAGAGGAAUUGGACCCCAGAGCACUUCAUCCACUUGGCAUUUCCUUUGUCUUGAAGCAGCCACCGUACACCUCAGGAAGACUGGUAAAUGCCCGGUCCCCAAGGCUGGCUCGAUGAAGACACAGCCUGAGGGGACAGACUCUGCAACAGUCAUGGGUGAUUGCCAGAGACAUUCCUGUGGCCUCGUAUGGGCAGGGAGGACAGGGGUCCUGCAAGAUAGGCCUUGAAGGAUAGGCAGCCCUGGACAGGGAUGAGGAAAGUCUAGAGCGCACAGGCAGGAGGUGGGUGUGAGCACAGGAGGGGCGAAGUCCCCUGGAGUGACAUGUGCUGGCCCGCCGGGAAGGGGCGGUCUGGUGCAUGUUAGAGCUGCUGCUGUAGCAGUGGCAGAGCAAGCGAGGUACUGGGCAGAGAGCUGCCCUGAGGAGCCACAGCAGGCGUCGG